UACAGAGGGUGCGAGCGUUAAUCGGAAUUACUGGGCGUAAAGCGCGCGUAGGCGGCUUUGCAAGUCGGGUGUGGAAAUCCCCAGGCUUAACCUGGGAACUGCGAUUCGAGACUGCAUUGCUAGAGUAUGGGAGAGGGAAGUGGAAUUUCCGGUGUAGCGGUGAAAUGCGUAGAGAGUCGGCAGGAACACCCAGGGGGAAACCAGUCGACUGGGCAUCUACUGACGCUGAGGUGCGAGAGCGUGGGGAGCGAACCGG
rnacentral:rRNA from 1 species